GACGAACGCUGGCGGCGUGCUUAACACAUGCAAGUCGAACGGUAAGGCCCUUCGGGGUACACGAGUGGCGAACGGGUGAGUAACACGUGGGUGAUCUGCCCUGCACUUCGGGAUAAGCCUGGGAAACUGGGUCUAAUACCGGAUAGGACUCCUGGCUUCAUGGUUGGGGGUGGAAAGCUUUUGCGGUGUGGGAUGGGCCCGCGGCCUAUCAGCUUGUUGGUGGGGUAAUGGCCUACCAAGGCGACGACGGGUAGCCGGCCUGAGAGGGGGACCGGUCACACGGGGACUGAGAUACGGCCCAGACUCCUACGGGAGGCAGCAGGGGGGAAUAUUGCACAAUGGGCGCAAGCCUGAUGCAGCGACGCCGCGUGAGGGAUGACUGCCUUCGGGUUGUAAACCUCUUUCAGCUAUGACGAAGCGCAAGUGACGGUAGUAGCAGAAGAAGGACCGGCCAACUACGUGCCAGCAGCCGCAGUAA
rnacentral:rRNA from 1 species